AGAGUUUGAUCAUGGCUCAGGAUGAACGCUAGCGGCAGGCCUAAUACAUGCAAGUCGAGGGGCAGCGCAGUGUAGCAAUACAUGGGCGGCGACCGGCAAACGGGUGCGGAACACGUACGCAACCUUCCUUCAAGCGGGGAAUAGCCCAGAGAAAUUUGGAUUAAUACCCCAUAAGAAUGUAGUCUGGCAUCAGAUAGCAU
rnacentral:rRNA from 1 species